CUCUGGGUGGCAGCAUCAGGGAAUCUCUAGAUCAGAGCUGCGUUUGAAUGGUUUGAAGGCCUGCUCAUUCCUUUUCCAGGGUGGAGCAUCUUCAUAAAGUCAAACUUUCAAGAUUUCCUGGCUCUGGCUAGUGAUGGCUCUGGGUUUCCCAGUCUCUCCUUGUCUGCAUGAAUGCUUCCUGCACUGCCCUGCUUGCUCUUACUCCACUAUUGUGAAUGCAGUAUAUCUGGGAUGUGUGUACAUACGUGGACUUUUCAACUGGUUCCUGGUAUGAAGACAGGAUUCAGGCUGGGAGAUCAGUGCUUCACUUGGCUUUUAGUUCAGAAUGGUUGAAAGGGAUAAAAGGAGACAGUGUCAUCGUAAGCCAGCAAACUAAACUCCUGAGAGUUAUGGUGUGGGAGAGCCAGGACAAUGGAGCGUAAGCAGUCGAGAAAACACAGCUAAAGUAGGGAAUAGAACAACUUCAUGCCCUUCUAUCCUGUUCCUGUCAUCCAAUGCUACCAUGCCAUCACCCACAUCCAAGGAACAAGGGAAUCUGGGAAAUAGAGUUUUCUGGAGCAAAGAUCAGGGGAUAAACCAGACACUCUGAGGAUGACACUAGAUUACAUUUGCCAGCCUCCUUUGCACCUAUCUGUGUCAUCUGAUUAAGUCGUCUCCUCUGGGACAUGAACACUAAUAUUAAGUAACCUCUGGGACCCUGAAACACAUAUUAGUUAGCCUGCCUCUGCCUGAGUACUUUCUUCCCAUCAUUGACUGCCACAGAAGAGAGUCACCAUUCACUAAGAAGACGGUGAUGAAGCUGUAGGAAAAGGGGAGUGAUACAUGAGGAGAUUGUGGACUAAACCUGAUGUCUUUCAGUCAUGGAAAACCAACCCGCUAGCCCCUGGGCUUUGAUGAUAUGACACAAUAAUGCAUCUGCUAGACAGGGGGUGGCCAGCCCACCUGACCUGCCCAACAUAUUUACAGAAAUCAUUGCUCUGCCCCACAAGGAGGAGAUGGAAGAAAGAGAAGCUGCACUUAUUAUUUGAUGUAUUUGCUUAUUUCUGACCAGAGUGAGGUAUUCACCACCAGCAUGACUGUGCUCCUUAUUCCAUGCAAGAUUUGUUCUAAAUGACUUCAGGCUGUUUACAAAACAAAAGCCAAACUUAAAGGACAAAGAUUUACCACCUUGAAGGAUAGUUAUAAUCAAUGCUUUAGGCUAUGGUCACAUUUAACACCACUGUCACUUGGCUUCUGGGCAACAGAAAGAGCACUUUCCUUCAAGUCCAAAGAUCCCACUUUUAGUUACCUGAUAAAGAAGCAUUUAAACCGGCAUUGACUCCAGGAAGUGUCUUUGCAUGAACAAGGACAUCAAUAACAAUUCAGCAUGAAUGUCUCCAAAUCCUAGAUUACUAACUCAAAAAAGUACAGCAUUCUAUGUGGCUCCCACUAUGAGAUUAAAAUGGUACAAUGAAACUAAUAUCAAGAUGGAUCUCCUUGACAUUAUUCAAGAAUUGAGAGCUGCAGCUAACUCUGGGAAGGAAGUUUUCUCAAGGUCCCAAUGUCCAUGCUUCCUCAGUUUCUAGUUACUUUUAUGAAUUAUCAUAUCUUAAGUAAGAAAGUUUAUUCUCUAGGCAGCUAAAUCUUCAAAAUAAAGAAAGAUAAUACAGCCUCAGAGAAUGAGGACCAUAAAUUAUGUCAUGGGAAACUUGUCCAUGGCAUAUUCUAAGCUUGUUGUAUCACAGUGGAAAAUAAAUGCAUCACAAAAUGUUUUCUUUCA